AUGACGUCAAGUCAUCAUGGCCCUUACGGCCAGGGCUACACACGUGCUACAAUGGUCGGUACAAAGGGUUGCCAAGCCGCGAGGUAGAGCUAAUCCCAUAAAACCGAUCGUAGUCCGGAUCGCAGUCUGCAACUCGACUGCGUGAAGUCGGAAUCGCUAGUAAUCGUGAAUCAGAAUGUCACGGUGAAUACGUUCCCGGGCCUU
rnacentral:rRNA from 1 species